UACAGAGGGUGCGAGCGUUGUUCGGAAUUACUGGGCGUAAAGGGCUCGUAGGUGGCCAACUAAGUCAGACGUGAAAUCCCUCGGCUUAACCGGGGAACUGCGUCUGAUACUGGAUGGCUUGAGUUUGGGAGAGGGACGCGGAAUUCCAGGUGUAGCGGUGAAAUGCGUAGAUAUCUGGAGGAACACCGGUGGCGAAGGCGGGUCUCUGGGCAGUAACUGACGCUGAGGAGCGAAAGCGUGGGGAGCAAACAGG
rnacentral:rRNA from 1 species